UUGCACGCUGGCGGCAUGCCUUACACCUGCAAGUCGAACGGCAGCACGGGUGCUUGCCCCUGGUGGCGAGUGGCGAACGGGUGAGUAAUACAUCGGAACAUGUCCUGUAGUGGGGGAUAGCCCGGCGAAAGCCGGAUUAAUACCGCAUACGAUCUACGGAUGAAAGCGGGGGACCUUCGGGCCUCGCGCUAUAGGGUUGGCCGAUGGCUGAUUAGCUAGUUGGUGGGGUAAAGGCCUACCAAGGCGACGAUCAGUAGCUGGUCUGAGAGGACGACCAGCCACACUGGGACUGAGACACGGCCCAGACUCCUACGGGAGGCAGCAGUGGGGAAUUUUGGACAAUGGGCGAAAGCCUGAUCCAGCAAUGCCGCGUGUGUGAAGAAGGCCUUCGGGUUGUAAAGCACUUUUGUCCGGAAAGAAAUCCUUGGCCCUAAUACGGUCGGGGGAUGACGGUACCGGAAGAAUAAGCACCGGCUAACUACGUG
rnacentral:rRNA from 1 species